UACGUAGGGUGCAAGCGUUAAUCGGAAUUACUGGGCGUAAAGCGUGCGCAGGCGGUUAUGUAAGACAGAUGUGAAAUCCCCGGGCUCAACCUGGGAACUGCAUUUGUGACUGCAUGGCUAGAGUACGGUAGAGGGGGAUGGAAUUCCGCGUGUAGCAGUGAAAUGCGUAGAUAUGCGGAGGAACACCGAUGGCGAAGGCAAUCCCCUGGACCUGUACUGACGCUCAUGCACGAAAGCGUGGGGAGCGAACGGG
rnacentral:rRNA from 1 species